GCUGGGCAUGGUGGUGCAUGCCUGUAAUCCCGGCAACUUGGGAGGCUGAGGUAGGAGGAUCAGCAAAUUAGCAAGGCCCUCAGCAACUUAUUGAGACCCUAUCUCAA
rnacentral:sRNA from 1 species